UCUUCUGAAGCCUCUCUGCGCCUUGGCCUCUCACUGGCCACCCAGUUGGCCAUAUUCCCCUGAUGCUGAAACCUUCUAGGGCCAGCUGACUAAGGUGUUCACGGGAUGUGGUUUAAUUUCUCACUCGGUCUGGUGAGGAGUAUCCUCCUCCACUUGCUCAAAACCGUGCAGAGGCAGCCCCUCGUGUCAGAAGCUCCGUCUUUGGAGCCAUGUGGACCCGCUUACAGAUAAGCUGGUACUGAGACCUCCGUGCCGAGACUGAGGACAAAACCCAGCUUGCAGAGUCUCGGAGCAUGCACUCCUCUGUCACGCAAGCUAAUGAUGUGGAAGCGUCGCUGUUCUGACACAGGGGGCACCCUGACCUAGUCUAAAAGCAGACCACCACACUUGCAGCUCUGUUAUCAGUACCUCAUGCGUCCGGCAGACAUCUUCACUGCGCUUUGCCCCACCCCCUGCCAUCCCUACACUCCUUGUUCCAAAGUGGUUGCAUCAAAACAACCAAGUCAAAAUAUCUUCUCCGCAACCCUGCCCAGCCCGGCUCCGCCCUGCCCUAUCAUCAGUUUGGUGCGGCGAGGGAGACCUUUGUGAAAAGACAGGACACGUCUAGAAAAAAGACUUCAUGGGGCGUCUGGGUGGCGCAGUCGGUUAAGCGUCCGACUUCAGCCAGGUCACGAUCUCGCGGUCCGUGUGAGUUCAAGCCCCGCGUCAGGCUCUGGGCU